GCAAACGGCAGGCAGCAGGGACAAACUGAAAAUCGCAAACCUUAACAAAGAGAGUGAAGCAAGAAACGGCAACACCAGAAUCACAAAUCGCAAGCAGGAAGAGAAGUAAGUAAUUGAUUUGUGUAAAAAAGAUAAGAUUCAUAUUCCUUCUUCUCCUGUUCUUGUAUUCUUGUGCUUUUUUUUUAAUAUGAGAUUCGAUUCCUUUUCUCCUGUUCAAAAUUUCUGAAUUUUCAAGUCUGCAACGGCCGCAACGGCGAUUUUCCUGUGAUUUUUGUUCUCGGCGUGAAAAGGUCCAAAAACGGUAAAGGUGGCUGCUGAUACCGUUUUGUAACGGCCGCAAUCCCGGUACCGGUCCUUUUUUUGAAACCUUGGCAGCCGUCCACUUGGUUGGCCACCGUCUAACUGCUCGCGCCGGCCGUUUUUCUUCUAAAUCAACAGGUGAGUUUUUGGUUCUUUCUAUGGUUUUAUUUUUCUCUCUUAGUUUCUUCUCUUCUGUCUCUUAUUCUGCUGUUUCAUCUUUUCAAUUCUCUCUUACUCUGCUGUUUCAUCUUCUCCAUGUAUGUUUCAUCUUCGUCAUCAUAAUUCAAUAUGGGUAAAUGCUUUUAUCUUUCUUUUGGUGAUUGCUCUCUAGGUGUUUGUGUUUAUGUCUCUGUGAAAUGGACAAAUGGUUUUGUUUUUGUUUUGGAGUUUCUUUUGUGGGGUUGUUUUAUUUUGAUUAGUGGAUUAAGUAGUGUUAUAAGGUCUAUAAUGGGGUUUGAUAAUUCAAGUUUAGUAAUAGGGAAUGGAUUUUGUCAUGUUGUUUCUUGUGCUUUGAGAGUUUUAUAGGUGUUAUUUAAAAAUUAUUAUUAUACACAGUUAUACAAUCCUUCUUAACAUAAGAAUAGAAGAUAGUGUGGUAAUUGUACCAAAAAAAAAAAAUGGUGUGGUAAAACCUAAAUUAGUAAAUUAUCCUUUUGGACACGUGUCACCUGUUGAGCUACUUCAACUUAAUAUGUUAUUUAAAUAUUCCUUAAAAAAAUACAUUUACUAAUGUAAAAAAUUAAUAUAAAUAUAGGCUAAUAAGCUUAAAGGAUUAAUCAGCUCAUAGGUAAAAUUAAUUGAGUCGAACUUUUUCCAUGAGAUAUUGAUAUUAUAGGCUAAUAAACUUAAAUCAUUCCAAUUUAAAAAAUAUUCAUAACAAAUUUAUAUUAUACAAUUUAUUAAAACAUUGUUGUUAUUAAAAAAGAUAAACAUAUUCUGUUUCUUUUAAGCAGAUAAACGAUAGGUUUGUUACAUAUUUUGUUGAAUUUUGUAGUUUUAAUGAAAAGAGGAAAAAUUGUUUUAACCUAUUUUUUAUUUUAUUUAAUAAAACUUGUUUUUCGAUUGUUGUGACUAUUUUUUCAUACAGUCAAAAAAGUUGCUCUUUACCGCUCUCCGCUACUACUCACUGGCUGCAGCCUCCCUCACUCACGCAAACCGGGACACGUUCCUUCUUUCUCGCGCCUGAUAACAUUAACACAAGUAAUUGAAUCUUCUCAAAAUCUCUAUCGUGCAUUUUUAGGGUUUUUGGAUUUUGUCAAUUUCUAUAUCUCUCUAAUUGUAUUCAAUUGAUUACGCAAUUUGUAUUAUUCUUAAUAUAUUUAAUCAUUGUAGGUCUUAUGAAACGAGGGUACCGAGAAUCUCCUUCAACCUCAUUCGGUUCACCUCAUUCUAAACCUAGACAUAAUUCUCAAGGUAUUGCUCUUUGCACCUCCCAUUUUUGCUACUAUAAUUGUUAAAAACAAGUAUCAGAUUGAGCUUUGCUGAAUUUAUAAUUUAAUGUAUAUCAAAGCUCACCUAAUUCUGCAAUACUAAGUUUGCGCAUGAACUCUUUGUAUCAAUCAAUAUUGUAAAGUAAAAACAAGGAUUUUAAGUAAAUGCCUGUUUCUGCAAUUUAAGUAGCAUACCGUGAUUGAGGCUGCAACUGUUGCAUUUAACUGCAAUUCUCUACCAUUUCGAGGAUAGUGACACAAGUGUAACCGUUAUUGCAACCACCAUUUGAAAUACUAGAAAGAACUAGAAGUAGAUAGCUUCUAAAUCGUAAAAACUUUAUGACGAGUUACCAAUUACCAUACUUGUAGUAUGUGUGCUUUUCUUUCCUUUUUCGGUUCAACCUCAUUCGGUUCACCUCAUUCUAAACCUAGACAUAAUUCUCAAGGUNCCCCCCCCCCCCCCCUUCUUAUGUUUUUCACACCUUCAACAUAUACAAUCAAAGUUCUAACAUCAAAAUCCCAAUUUUUUCUCUAAACUUUCAUCUAGUAUCUGUUACCUAAAUACUCAAAUUAAGAGUGUCAAUUUAAAAUUACCUUGAACUUAAUAAAUAACAGAUUUUUUUUUUGUGGUGUCCGGGAUUUAAACCCUAGAUAUUGCAUAUAUUAUGCAUUAUCUCUAUCAACUGAGCUAAACUCACGGGGAUAUUUAAUAAAUAAGGGCUUAAAUAUGCUAUUAGUCCUGUAAAUAUUUUUUUUACAAGGACGAAAAUUAAUUCACGCCUAAAUUACAUGGACGAAUUGCAUAUUUAAGCCAUAAUAAAUAAAUAUAUGAAUAAACAAAUAAAACAUCUAAAAUAAUUAUUAAUUAUAAUUAUUAUUAAUACGUGUGUUAUUCACUAAAAAAAAAAAAAAAAAAAUCUAAAAUAAUUAUUAAUUAUAAUUAUUAUUAAUACGUGUGUUAUUCACUAAAAAAAAAAAAAAAAACACAACAAAAUCGCAAACGGCAGGCAGCAGGGACAAACUGAAAAUCGCAAACCUUAACAAAGAGAGUGAAGCAAGAAACGGCAACACCAGAAUCACAAAUCGCAAGCAGGAAGAGAAGUAAGUAAUUGAUUUGUGUAAAAAAGAUAAGAUUCAUAUUCCUUCUUCUCCUGUUCUUGUAUUCUUGUGCUUUUUUUUUAAUAUGAGAUUCGAUUCCUUUUCUCCUGUUCAAAAUUUCUGAAUUUUCAAGUCU
rnacentral:lncRNA from 1 species